GGCAGGGGCUUGCACUCAGGCUUUCAGUACUUCGGAAGAGCUCCCGGAGUUAGACUCUCCCCGCGGGAGAGGAACUGUUACGGAUCUGCGCAUUGAGCGAUCCACACGGUGUAGGCC
ncrna:unclassified sequences DTF3268 RNA